AAAAAGCAGCUGUGAUGAGGAACCCUAAGAUAAUAGAUCUCUAAGACAGUAACUCUCUCCUAUGAGAUUUACUUGCUGUACUGCUACCAGCUUUGUGGUCAUCCUUAUUCUUCCUUUAAAGUGAAGUGCAAUUUGUAUUGUGAUGAAUACAGAGAAAUUGGCUUGUAUUCUGCAACACAAUAUUAUUGCUUCCACACUUGAUAGUGACCAGUGCUUUUUUUCUAGAAAAAUAGGUGCUGGUACUGUAAAAGAGAGAGAGAGAGAGAGAGAGAGAGAGAGAGAGAGAGAGAGAGAGAGAGAGAGAGAGAUGCCGGUACUGCAUCCUUCCAGCUCAGCUUUUCAUUUCCAGCUCCCUUAUUCAUUCUGUCCCAUUCAAGUGAAGCUCCAUCCCAAAGUGUUUGUGUCCUUAUAAAAUGUUGGAGGAAGAAAGCACCUGGUAAGCACAGCCCUGCUUGAGAAAUAUUCAGAGGAAGGAGAUCAGACCAUUUGCAGAAGAGGUCAUCCUCACAGGGGAUUCAUAGGCAUAGCAUAGAAAGUAGAUGAGAAAUUCCUGACCAUGGGAAUUUCUGGUGGGAAAUGUAAGAUAUUAAGAUAUCUUCCUCAAAGAU